rnacentral:rRNA from 1 species
GACGAACGCUGGCGGCGUGCUUAACACAUGCAAGUCGAACGGAAAGGCCCUGCUUUUGUGGGGUUCUCGAGUGGCGAACGGGUGAGUAACACGUGUGUAACCUGCCCUUGACUUUGGGAUAACUUCUGGAAACUGGGGCUAAUACCGGAUAGGAUCUCCUGCUGCAUGGUGUGGGUUGGAUAUUUUCGGCGGUUGGGGAUGGACUCGCGGCUUAUCAGCUUGUUUGUGGGGUAGUGGCUUACCAAGGGUUUGACGGGUAGCCGGCCUGUGAGGGUGACAGGGAAAAAUGGGACGGAGAUACGGACCAGAGGAGAACGGGAGGAAGCAGUGGGGAAAAUGGAAAAAUGGGAGGAAGCAUGAUGAAGAAACGCAGCGAGAGGGAUGACGGGCUUCGGGUUGUAAAAAGAAUGAGCCUGUGACGAAGAGAGAGUGACGGUAAUGGGUAAAGAAGCACCGGCUAACUACGUG